rnacentral:misc_RNA from 1 species
GGAGCAUAGCCAUACAUGCAUCAUACAAGGUAAUCUCAGUUCCACACUUCCCUGCAUUAGAAGUGGCAUAUUACUUACUACAUUAUUAGUACAGCAAACCACACUCAGAUGAUUGCAAGUAUAUUAAGUCUGGCAUAAGUUUUCUCUUUUGUGAUUCUCUUGUUCUUUAACCCAAAUCACAUGCUCGGCUUCACAUUCAGGCGACUGGCCAGCUUCUGACCGAGAGACCUGUCAGCCUGGGACCAAUAGGAGAUCCAUAUGCUACUGAUUUCAUGGGUGACCCGUGGAUCAGACAGGGCGUCAACCCACCUGCGGAUAAAGCGCUCUUGCCUGUCAGGAUCAAAGG